rnacentral:lncRNA from 10 species
AACUCCUGACCUCGUGAUCAGCCCACCUCGGUCUCCCAAAGUGCUGGAAUUACAGGCAUGAGCCACUGUACCUGGCCAGCAUUUCUUAAAUAAGAUAUAAAAUAUGGUAACCAUGAAAGAAAAAAAAGAGAUGUUGGACAAUAUUAAAAUUAAGAACUUUUGUUGACCACUCUGCAAAUUGUCAAAAGACAAUUUACAGAGGGGAAGAAAAUAUUUGUGUUACAUAUAUCUGUCAAAGGAUUUGUGUCCAGAUUAUAUAAGUAACUGCAUAAAUCAAUAACAAAAAGAUUAAUAGGUAAAUGGAAAAAUAUUCUUUUGCCUGGGCGACAGAGCAGAGACUCCGUCUCAAAAAAAAAAAAAAGAAAGAAAGAAAAAUAGUCUCCACCUUUCUGGACGGAACUAAUGUAUUUCUUACAUAUAUUGAUUGAUGUCUCAUAUCUCCCUAAAAUGUAAAAAACCAGCUAUGUCCCAACCACCUUGGGCACAAGUCAUCAGAACUUCCUGAGGCUGUGUCACCAGCUAGUCCUCAGCCUUGGUAAAACAAACUUUCUAAAUUAACUGAGACUGCCAGGCCUGUAAUCCCAGUACUUUGGGAGGCUGAGGGGGGAGGAUCACUUGAGGUCAGCAGUUUGAGAUCAGCUUGACCAACAUGGUGAAACCUCAUUUCUACUAAAAAUACGAAAACUGGCCAGGCGUGGUGGCCGGCGCCUGUAAUCCCAGCUACUCUGGAGGCUGAGGCAGGAGAAUCGCUUGAACUGGGGAGGCGGAGGUUGCAGUGAGCCCAGACCCCGCCAUUGCAUUCCAGCCUGGGCAACAAGAGCGAAACUUCGUCUCAAAUAAAUAAAUAAAUUAAUUAAUUAACUAAGACAUGUCUCAAAUUUUCAGGGUUCACAGUCUUUUUCUAUUAUAAGUAAUACUGCAAUAAUAAUAUUGCACAGAAGUUAAAUAUAUGUGUAGGAUAAAUUUCCAGAAGUGAGAAUGCCGAGCCAAAAUAUAUGCUUUUAUAAUUUUUGGAACUGCCUAUUCAUUUUCUUUGCCCAUUUUUCUAGAGUCGUGUGUCCCCUUCUUGUAAAUUUGUAAGGUCAAUUUAAACAUUAUUGAUAUUAAUGUUCUGCCAUCCUCUAUAUUGCAAUAUUUUUCCUAUUGAUUUUAUUUAUGGACUUUUAAAAUUAAAUGUACUUGAAGUAAAAUGCACAAAUCUUAAGUGUACAGCUCUGUUAAUUUUUAUAUAUGUGUAACUCACACAAGCACUACCUAGAUAAUGUUAAAAAAAUUUCUAGCACGUCAAUGCCAAAAGUUCUUCAGAGAUAAUACCACUGCCUCCCUUCUGCCUCCCAGUCAAACCUUCCUCCCUCAAGGUCACUGUUCUACAAAAUGGUACUCUGAGUGGCCAAAGACUGGACAAAUAUCAUAUCCAAACCACUUUGAGCCAACAAGACUUUGUCCUUUGCUAAUGGAUCUGUAUGUGUAAGGGAAUACAUUCAAAGAACAUGUUAUUUUCAAGUCUUCCCAAGUUCUAUUUUUCAUCAGGCCCUUUUGCGUUUACUAUGCACAUGCCUCAGGGUUGGUCAGGAGUGUGUGAAUAGUUUAGGCCAUCUCUAGUCUCUGCUGCACAUGUACCCAGUCUCAGCCUGAAACAUGAUUGCCCCAACUAGGAUUGCAGCCUCAGGGCCAUAGGGUGAAUAAGCUCUUGGCCUUCUCUCCCUAGUCAGCAUCCCAGAAGUCACUUUCCCUUAAAAUGUUUCUGGGCAUGAGUGUCAACUACCCCUUCAAACUGAGUGAGUUUCCUUCAGGAGACAGAGAAGUUGCCAGUCCUGAAAAUAUUAGUUAUCAAUCUUUUCAUAAUAUAUUUUUAUUAUACUUCUUUUCCAUUCUUGAGUUCCUAAUUUUGGUUCAUCUCUUAAUAAAUUAGAAAUUACUACAAUAAUUAUUAUAGGAAUGGUAUAUGAAUGAUAGAAUUCCUGAAUUCUUAUAUGUCUGAGAAUACCUUCUUACCAAACUAUGGAUGACAUCUGAUGAAUACAUAAUUCAUAGGUCACAUUAAUACCCUUGCACAGAUGCAGCUUUAUUACCUUUAGAUUUUAGUCUUAUAGAAUAAUUCAAAGUCCUUUGAUUUUUGUUCUUUUGUAGCCAACUUACUUUUUCUGCUUGCAUGCUUACAUUACCAUCAGUAUUUUUUUUUUUUUUUUUGAGACGGAGUCUCACUCUGUCACCCAGGCUGGAGUGCAGUGGCGAGAUCUCUGCUCACUGUAAGCUCCACCUCCUGAGUUCACGCCAUUCUCCU